AAGGCUUCAGUACGACCCAGUCAGAACUAUAAGUCUCAAAGCCCCGACGAGUAGGGUGGCGUGCCGGUGCGCGUUGAAGGCCAAGACGUGAGUCAGGCUGGAGCCGCCGGUAGUGCAGAUCUUGGUGGUAGUAGCAAGUACUCUGGUGAACCAACCUGGAGCUGUGAGGUCUGGAUUAGGGUUCCAUGUCAACAGUGAUUGAACAUGGGUGAGUCGAUCCUAAGCCAACUGUGAAAGCAGUGACAUCCCGACAAAGGGGCACUACAUGUGAUGCACUUACACCCCCAAAGCAAAGCUCUCGUAUUGCUCUCUCUCUCUCUCUCAAACAAAGUUCUCUCUGAGGAUAUGGUGUCUGGUUAUGGAAUACAAGCGCACACACGAUGAUCACUACGGAGUGUGAGUGUGUGCGCGCUGGUCUGGGUAUGGAAUACAAGCGCACACACGAUGAUCACUACGGAGUGUGAGUGUGUGCGCGCUGGCCUGGGUAUGGAAUAUAAGCGCACACACGAUGAUCACUACGGAGUGUGAGUGUGUGCGCGCUGGCCUGGGUAUGGAAUACAAGCGCACACACGAUGAUCACUACGGAGUGUGAGUGUGUGCGCGUUGGUCUGGUUACGCUCAAAAGCGUUGUUGCUCUCUGAUCUGAUAUGAUGUGAUGUGACGAAGCAAAACCGAGAGAGAGAGAAACGGAGUGGGUGAGCGUGAGUGCAAAUUAUCUCAUGAGCACCCUGCGUCUGGUUCUAUGUCUGGCGAAAGGGAAUGGGGACUUUGUUCCUUGACCGGUCCUGGCACCCUCGAUUGGCUUUGCCAAUUAAUGGUCCAUGCAAAUGGAACCAGGCCACAGCCGUCGGCAGUCGCCCGAGGAAGAGUUUUCUUUUCUGCUUAACGCACGAGGUCAUCCCUGGAAACAGUUCGGCUGGCGAAAGGGUGCCCCGCUGCGGCAGAGCGCCACGACUGUCGUGCGCGUCUCGGUGUUCCUGCUGAUCCGUGAAGACGUGGUCGAGGGGAUUGCUCUUGUAUCAACGAAACGCCCGACAAGUUCGGGACGGACCGUACCCUAUAUCCGCAUCUGGUCUCCAAGGUUCGUAGCCUCUGCAGAGUCAGACACAUGUAGGUAAGGGAAGUCGGCAAACUCGAUCCGUAACUUCGGGAAAAGGAUUGGCUCUGAGGGCCGAGCUGGGCCGGGCCUUGCCUGCAAAGCAGUACCUAUAGUGACCGGAGUUUCAGGAGUGCGAGGGGCUCUAGUAGCUGCUUGUGCGUGUGUGCGUUCGCUCGUGCAUGCGUGUGGGCACGAACGAGUCCACCGCUCCGCUCCAACCACGAACGGCUGUGACGGCAAGGGCUCUGGGCGGGAGCGAUCGAUCCGUUGGCCCCCAGCGCGUCUGGGUGGCGGCGGUGCUCCGUCUGACCCAUACGGCUCCAGCGGCUAGCGGCUAACUCAGAACUGUCAUGGACCAAGGGAAUCCGACUGUCUAAUUAAAACACAGCGUCGUGACGGCCCC
rnacentral:rRNA from 1 species